rnacentral:rRNA from 1 species
UUCAAAUGAAUUGACGGGGGCCCGCACAAGCGGUGGAGCAUGUGGUUUAAUUCGAAGCAACGCGAAGAACCUUACCAAAUCUUGACAUCCUUUGACAACUCUAGAGAUAGAGCCUUCCCCUUCGGGGGACAAAGUGACAGGUGGUGCAUGGUUGUCGUCAGCUCGUGUCGUGAGAUGUUGGGUUAAGUCCCCGAACGAGCGCAACCCUUAAGCUUAGUUGCCAUCAUUAAGUUGGGCACUCUAAGUUGACUGCCGGUGACAAACCGGAGGAAGGUGGGGAUGACGUCAAAUCAUCAUGCCCCUUAUGAUUUGGGCUACACACGUGCUACAAUGGACAAUACAAAGGGCAGCGAAACCGCGAGGUCAAGCAAAUCCCAUAAAGUUGUUCUCAGUUCGGAUUGUAGUCUGCAACUCGACUACAUGAAGCUGGAAUCGCUAGUAAUCGUAGAUCAGCAUGCUACGGUGAAUACGUUCCCGGGCC